UACAGAAGGUGCGAGCGUUAAUCGGAAUUACUGGGCGUAAAGAGUGCGUAGGUGGUUUAUUAAGUCAGGCGUGAAAUCCACGGGCUCAACCCGUGAACUGCGUUUGAAACUGGUAGACUAGAGUAUGGUAGAGGGAAGUGGAAUUUCAGGUGUAGCGGUGAAAUGCGUAGAUAUCUGAAGGAACACCAGUGGCGAAGGCGACUUCCUGGCCCAAUACUGACACUGAGGCACGAAAGCGUGGGGAUCAAACAGG
rnacentral:rRNA from 1 species